rnacentral:misc_RNA from 1 species
GCUGCCUGUUUGGAACUUCACCUCCUUUCAUGGUGUUUCGACUAGUCAUUCCUCUGUGCAAGGCUAUUCAUAAGUCACAAAUAACUUGUUUUAUCAGGAUACAUUUGAGAAACACUUACUCCUCUAAAAUUUGCCUCUAUUGUGGAUAAUUGUGAUGAAGUAACUCAAUUCCAACUCCAUAGGCAUAUCUAAAUUUUCUAUUUUCACUAAUGUAACAUACACUUUUCAA